CCUACGGGCGGCAGCAGUGAGGAAUAUUGGACAAUGGGCGGAAGCCUGAACCAGCCAAGUAGCGUGCGGGAUGAAGGCUCUACGGGUCGUAAACCGCUGUUGCACGGGGAUAACACCCUCCACUUGUGGAGGUCUGCAGGUACCCUGCGAAUUAUGUCCGGCAAAGUCCGUUCCAGCAGCCGUGGUAAUACGGAAGGCCCGAGAGUGAGCCGGAUUCAUUGGGCUAAAAGGGAGAGUAGGCGGGCGUUCAAGUCAGGUGUAAAAGCGCGCGGCUCAACCGCGCCCCGCAGUUGAAACUGGACGCCUUGAGUACAGAACAGGCAGGCGGAAUUCGUGGUGUAGCGGUGAAAUGCAUAGAUAUCGCGAGGAACCCCGAGUGCGAAGGCAGCCUGCCGGGGUGCGACUGACGCUGAGGCUCGAAGGUGCGGGUAUCAAAAAGGAUUAGAUACCCUUGUAGUC
rnacentral:rRNA from 1 species